UACGUAGGGUGCGAGCGUUAUCCGGAAUUAUUGGGCGUAAAGAGCUCGUAGGCGGUUUGUCGCGUCUGUCGUGAAAGUCCGGGGGCUUAACCCCGGAUCUGCGGUGGGUACGGGCAGACUAGAGUGCAGUAGGGGAGACUGGAAUUCCUGGUGUAGCGGUGGAAUGCGCAGAUAUCAGGAGGAACACCGAUGGCGAAGGCAGGUCUCUGGGCUGUAACUGACGCUGAGGAGCGAAAGCAUGGGGAGCGAACAGG
rnacentral:rRNA from 1 species